rnacentral:rRNA from 1 species
AUUGAACGCUGGCGGCAGGCCUAACACAUGCAAGUCGAGCGGAUGAGGGGAGCUUGCUUCCUGAUUCAGCGGCGGACGGGUGAGUAAUGCCUAGGAAUCUGCCUGGUAGUGGGGGACAACGUUUCGAAAGGAACGCUAAUACCGCAUACGUCCUACGGGAGAAAGUGGGGGAUCUUCGGACCUCACGCUAUCAGAUGAGCCUAGGUCGGAUUAGCUAGUUGGUGAGGUAAAGGCUCACCAAGGCGACGAUCCGUAACUGGUCUGAGAGGAUGAUCAGUCACACUGGAACUGAGACACGGUCCAGACUCCUACGGGAGGCAGCAGUGGGGAAUAUUGGACAAUGGGCGAAAGCCUGAUCCAGCCAUGCCGCGUGUGUGAAGAAGGUCUUCGGAUUGUAAAGCACUUUAAGUUGGGAGGAAGGGCUGUAGGCUAAUAUCCUGCAGUUUUGACGUUACCGACAGAAUAAGCACCGGCUAACUUCGUGCCAGCCGCCGCAGUAACAC